GCACAUUCCAGCCAAUCAGCAGCAGACCCUCCCUCCCAGACCCUCCCACCUCCUGGACAGCUCACUAAGAAUGCAGCUUCACAAUGAAUGUAAAAUGGAUGCUGUCCAGGAGGUGGGAGGGUCUGGGAGGGAGGGUCUGCUGCUGAUUGGCUGGAAUGUGUCU